CUACCAUGCAGUCGAGGGGUAUGGCAGCAAUGCCAGAGACCGGCGCACGGGUGCGUAACGCGUAUGCAAUCUACCUUUUACAGGGGAAUAGCCCAGAGAAAUUUGGAUUAAUGCCCCAUGGUAUUACGAGAUGGCGUCAUUUUGUAAUUAAAGUUCCAACGGUAAAAGAUGAGCAUGCGUCCCAUUAGUUAGUUGGUAAGGUAACGGCUUACCAAGACGAUGAUGGGUAGGGGUCCUGAGAGGGAGAUCCCCCACACUGGUACUGAGACACGGACCAGACUCCUACGGGAGGCAGCAGUGAGGAAUAUUGGACAAUGGGCGCAAGCCUGAUCCAGCCAUGCCGCGUGCAGGAAGAAGCAUCUAUGGUGUGUAAACUGCUUUUGUACAGGAAGAAACACUCCCUCGUGAGGGAGCUUGACGGUACUGUAAGAAUAAGGAUCGGCUAACUCCGUGCCAGCAGCCGCGGUAAUACGGAGGAUCCAAGCGUUAUCCGGAAUCAUUGGGUUUAAAGGGUCCGUAGGCGGUUUUGUAAGUCAGUGGUGAAAUCUGGUCGCUCAACGAUCAAACGGCCAUUGAUACUGCAAGACUUGAAUUAUUGGGAAGUAACUAGAAUAUGUAGUGUAGCGGUGAAAUGCUUAGAUAUUACAUGGAAUACCAAUUGCGAAGGCAGGUUACUAUCAAUAUAUUGACGCUGAUGGACGAAAGCGUGGGGAGCGAACAGGAUUAGAUACCCUGGUAGUCCACGCCGUANACGAUGGAUACUAGCUGUUGGGGUUUACCUCAGUGGCUAAGCGAAAGUGAUAAGUAUCCCACCUGGGGAGUACGUUCGCAAGAAUGAAACUCAAAGGAAUUGACGGGGGCCCGCACAAGCGGUGGAGCAUGUGGUUUUAUUCGAUGAUACGCGAGGAACCUUAC
rnacentral:rRNA from 1 species